rnacentral:pre_miRNA from 1 species
AUAGUACUCCCUCCGUCCGAAAAUACUUGUCAUCAAAAUGGACAAAAAGGAAUGUAUCUAAAACUAAAAUACAUCUAGAUACAUCUCCUUUUAUUCAUUUUGAUGACAAGUAUUUCCGGACGGAGGGAGUAGUUG